UAGAUCUGUCAUAUACUCAUAUUCUACUCACGGCAAUAUAAGAUCUUUUUUCUGGAUAUUCUCAAACUUCGAAUUUUUCUGAUCUUUCAUAUUCUCUACUCACGGACGAUAUAAGGUAUUUGUAUUUUUCAUUCUCAUUCUAAGUUCCUAUUAUUUUUUCUAAGUUCUGUUUUUUCAUUUAUUAUUUUGUAA